GUGGCCUGUAGCAGGGGAAGAAAAAUAGCUGUGAGCAUCUGUGACACACAAGAAAGCAGCUGUUAGCAUCUGGCUCCUGUCAGCCGUGCAAAGGAGCGCUAUCCCAUGUGCUUAGAGCCCGACAGAAAGCAGAUUCCUUGAAGACCCAGUGACUCCAGUCAUGUACACCAAAGAAAGUGGCCAGAGGAACACCAGAAUAUCAGCGGAGAAGAAAUCACUCCUAAGGAUGCGGAUCUGCCUUUUUGGAGAGUUUAACAGCUUGAAUCAAACAAACAUCGACUCUAACCCAGGUUCAAGUUCAUUCUAAAUGGCUCAACUGAUCAAUAGUUAGAAUAAGUGGAGGCUCAAAA